rnacentral:rRNA from 1 species
UUCCUACGGGAGGCAGCAGUGGGGAAUAUUGCGCAAUGGGGGAAACCCUGACGCAGCAACGCCGCGUGCGGGAUGACGGCCUUCGGGUUGUAAACCGCUUUCAGCAGGGAAGAACCUCGACGGUACCUGCAGAAGAAGCUCCGGCUAACUACGUGCCAGCAGCCGCGGUAAUACGUAGGGAGCGAGCGUUAUCCGGAUUCAUUGGGCGUAAAGCGCGCGUAGGCGGGCAUCUAAGCGGGACCUCUAAUCUCGGGGCUCAACCUCGAGCCGGGUUCCGAACUGGAUGCCUCGAUUCCGGUAGGGGG